rfam:Ciona savignyi cont_30551, whole genome shotgun sequence.
GUCGUCGUGGCCGAGUGGUUAAGGCGACAGACUUGAAAUCUGUUGGGCUCUGCCCGCACAAGUUCGAAUCUUGUCGGCGACG